GACGAACGCUGGCGGCGUGCCUAAUACAUGCAAGUUGAGCGAUGAAGAUUGGUGCUUGCACCCAUUUGAAGAGCAGCGAACGGGUGAGUAACGCGUGGGGAAUCUGCCUUUGAGCGGGGGACAACAUUUGGAAACGAAUGCUAAUACCGCAUAACAACUUUAAACAUAAGUUUUAAGUUUGAAAGAUGCAAUUGCAUCACUCAAAGAUGAUCCCGCGUUGUAUUAGCUAGUUGGUGAGGUAAAGGCUCACCAAGGCGAUGAUACAUAGCCGACCUGAGAGGGUGAUCGGCCACAUUGGGACUGAGACACGGCCCAAACUCCUACGGGAGGCAGCAGUAGGGAAUCUUCGGCAAUGGACGAAAGUCUGACCGAGCAACGCCGCGUGAGUGAAGAAGGUUUUCGGAUCGUAAAACUCUGUUGGUAGAGAAGAACGUUGGUGGGAGUGGAAAGCUCAUCAAGUGACGGUAACUAACCAGAAAGGGACGGCUAACUACGUG
rnacentral:rRNA from 1 species